AUGGCCGGAAGGCUUAAAGGAUGGAAAGGCAAACUGAUGGCCAAACCUGGAAGGCUCACUCUAAUAAAUUCUGUGCUUACAUCCAUGGCCACCUAUUUCUUAACUAGUUUUGCAGUUGACAAAUGGGCAAUAAAGAAAAUGGAAAAGAUUCAGCGAAACUUCCUUUGGAAUGGUGACGAGGAGUGCAACGGGGCCAAGUGCCUUGUCAACUGGAAGAGGGUCUGCUCCCCAAAGGAUCUUGGUGGCCUUGGAAUCAAAGACAUUGCCUGCUUCAGUAGGGCAUUGAGGCUGCGUUGGGCUUGGCUAGAGUGGAGCCCCACUUCAAGGCCUUGGCAGGGCACCCCCAUCCCAUGCGAUCACACAGACAUGCUGCUUUUCUCAGCUUGCACGGAGAUUUUG
rnacentral:rRNA from 1 species